rnacentral:rRNA from 1 species
GGUGAACGCUGGCGGCGUGCUUAAGACAUGCAAGUCGAACGGCAGUCUUCGGACUGUAGUGGCGCACGGGUGAGUAACGCGUAACUGACCUACCCCAAAGUCGCGGAUAACGAUUCGAAAGAAUCGCUAAUACGUGAUGUGCUGUCAGAUCCUGUUCUGCCAGUAAAGAUUGAUUGCUUUGGGAUGGGGUUGCGUUCCAUCAGCUAGUUGGUGGGGUAAAGGCCCACCAAGGCGACGACGGAUAGCCGGCCUGAGAGGGUGGCCGGCCACAGGGGCACGGAGACACGGGUCCCACUCCUACGGGAGGCAGCAGUUAGGAAUCUUCCACAAUGGGCGAAAGCCUGAUGGAGCGACGCCGCGUGAGGGAUGAAGGUCUUCGGAUCGUAAACCUCUGAAUCAGGGACGAAAGACACUUCGGUGGGAUGACGGUACCUGAGUAAUAGCACCGGCUAACUCCGUGCCAGCCGCCGCGGUAACAC